CUUACCGGCUACGCGCGCUUAUGAACUUGCUCCUGAAGCCUACCGGCAAAAGUUCCGGAAACGUCAAAACUGCCAGCCAAACCUUUGUUGAGUUCGCUCGAGAGAAGACUGCUCUCUUUGGUCCCUUCACUCUCUGGUGCUGCCGUUUUAGCAAAUGAGGUUCUGCUCGCCCACAAAAGGAUCUUUUCUACUCCCCGCCAUGAUAUCGAUGAACGUCGUAAGUAAAGGGCUCCCGUCCAGAACUGCUAAGUCCUCUGUUUUCUCAUCGGAGUCUCGUGAUUGUUUAUGUUAUGGGUGAGCCUAUUGAGAGAAUUCUAAUUCAUUAUGUUGGUCCACUGCCCAAAACAAAGUCUGGUUUUCAGUACCUCCUGACUUUGGUGUUGCAGCAUGCAGGUACCCUGAAGCUAUUAGGAAGCUGAGUAUCCAACAUCACGUUUCCACUGCAUGCCAUUCAGAAUCGCAAGGAGCUUUGGAGAGAUUUCACCCGACAUUGAAAACCAUGCUUAGAACAUAUUGUUUAGCCCAGGGCAGGGAUUGAGAUGAGGGGAUCCCCCUUCUCCUACUCGCCAUCCGUUACACCCUUCGAGAGUCUCUUGCAUUUCCGUAGUCCUGCCAAACUAGUAUUUGGACAUUCUGCCCGUGGUCCUUUCAGAGUGCUGCAGGAACAGGUUCAGUCCUCAGAUCAGUCCCAGGUCUCCUCAACAAAUAUUUUAGACUCUGUUAGCAGCUUUCGUUUAGGCUUGCAUACUGUUUGUGAGUUAACUACAGUAAGAGCUCUCUAGCUCUCUAGCUUCCUCCCCAUCUCACAUGAAGUCUGGCUCUGAACAGAAGUCAGUACAAAAUUAAUUUCAACUUCUGUUGUUUUACUGCUGUUACCUGGUUCAGCUCUACAGGCUAAGGUCCUUAUGUCAUUGAUUCAAAGCUGAGUGAAACAGCUUAUUCUGUGAAGACCCCUGACAGGAGAAGAAACUCUCAUGUGUACCAUGUGAAUAUGCUCAAGCUAUAAGUGUCCCAUUCCAAAUCUGAAACCUGCCCCGCUUCACCACCAGCCUCUCCAGUAACUGCUGCUUCUGUGAGUCUCUCUCCGUCAGAGUACUCCCCUGAGAUCGAUGGACUUUGCUCAGGAAAUGCCUGUCUGCCGGGAUGUGAUGCAGGCUAAAAUAUGUUUCUUACCGAUGUCACCUGAGGUUAGGGUGUCCAAAGACAUGUGCCAAAACAAAUUUUUUUUUAACUAUAUUUAAAUAACAUUUUUCAUCUGACCAGUAGCGGGAGGAAUUGCACCCCCAGUAAAA